rnacentral:lncRNA from 1 species
CGUGAUUUACAGGAGCCAAGAAAAGGGCUCUUACAAAGCCCUAAAACUCACAAGAAAUCCAACAAAAAUCGAAGAUAGAACAAGCUAAAAAUUGGGGCUUUAAAUAAAUUUGUGAUCACCCAAGCUAGAAGAUUGCAAGGUAUGUUGAAUUUUUUUGACUCUGACAAGCUAGGUAGGAGCUUGGAAAUGAACGGGUCAAAUGGAUACAAGUUCAAGUAUGAAGCUCGCAAGGAUGCAAGGUAAAUGAUAUCGGCUAUCCAGAUGAAGAUCAAGCGCCUAACAAGAACCGAACACACGAUAAAUGAAGCUUCCGCAUUUGAGUUUAAACCUUGUUAUCAAAAAGUGAACUAUGUAAACACUGAUAACAUGGUUUUUGGAACGUUUUAAACAUGUCUGAAUAUUUUGAUGUAAAAGUUUUCGUUGAGUCGCAUUUUUGUUAUAAAAUGCGUACUUU